rnacentral:rRNA from 1 species
UACGGAGGGAGCUAGCGUUGUUCGGAAUUACUGGGCGUAAAGCGCGCGUAGGCGGCUUUGUAAGUUAGAGGUGAAAGCCUGGAGCUCAACUUCAGAAUUGCCUUUAAGACUGCAUCGCUUGAAUCCGGGAGAGGUGAGUGGAAUUCCGAGUGUAGAGGUGAAAUUCGUAGAUAUUCGGAAGAACACCAGUGGCGAAGGCGGCUCACUGGACCGGCAUUGACGCUGAUGUGCGAAAGCGUGGGGAGCAACAGGG